rnacentral:rRNA from 1 species
UACGGGGGGGGCAAGCGUUGUUCGGAAUUACUGGGCGUAAAGGGCGCGUAGGUGGCUUGCUAUGUCGGAUGUGAAAACUCUGGGCUCAACCCAGAGCCUGCAUCCGAAACUGGCGGGCUAGGGUGCUGGAGGGGAAAGCGGAAUUCCUGGUGUAGCGGUGAAAUGCGUAGAUAUCAGGAGGAACACCGGUGGCGAAGGCGGCUUUCUGGACAGUAACCGACACUGAGGCGCGAAAGCUAGGGGAGCAAACAGG